UUAUUGCAUUUUGUCCAAUUUGAAGGGCCAUUUGUUGAGUUCAUCAAUGGAAUUUCGUUGUUUAUGUAUUUCCGAAAUACUUUGGUAUAAUUGAUAAUUAAGGAUUAAAUGUCAUGAGGUUCCUUUUAUUUAAGAUAGACAAGAAAGAAGGAAUUGAAGAAGUGGGUUUGGGUUAGUAUAGAGAACUGAAACAGAAUUGUACUUGCUGUUAUUGCAGGGAAAUGAAACAGAAUUGUACCUUCUGCAAAAUUAUCAAGUGGUAGCAAUUUGCAGAUUCCCUAAUCAAUUGAAGUAAUUUUGUUUCCAAUUUUAUUUCUCUUCCUGUAAUUUUAUGAAAAAAUGGUUGUUUUGUUGCAAAAAGCAGGGCUAUGCUCCAAUCUAUUUAAGACUUGAAGAUUUAGAAGUUUCCUGGCUUUGUCUUUGAAUUCAGGAGGCUUUAUUAAUAGUGACUUUAGACCACAAAAGGAAGGCUUGAUACAACGCUGGUCAAGUUGAGUUAUUGGUGAACGCCUAAUCUUUUUCACUUUAAUGGACAUCAAUGCUUUUUUGGUCGUUAAUGUUUGUUUUCCGUCCAUUUUCCUUGCUACUUUUGUAUUAGGAUUUUAAACUCAAUCGUGAAAUUGAGUGUAGGCCUUUUUUAUUGUACAUAAGUUCUUAAUGUGGAGUCAAUACGAAUCUUCCCUGUACAUAUUCUACUGUUUAAGUAAUGAACAAAACUAUUCUCAA